UUUAGCCCAAAAAUAGAUGUGAAAUAACAGUGAAAUUCUGCGUGACUUCCACGUGCUGUAAUGUGCGCGCGCGCAGAACUGGAGCGGAGGACGUCACCAUGGAAACGAGGCGGCAGCCCAACCGUCAAGCAGCUGAUCGCUGACACUCAAUGUGGUUUCACUUUUUUUUUUAGAAAUGGUUUAGCGUCGUCAGAAAAAGUCCGUUAGCAUCUCAAAGAAGUGCCAGAAAAAAACCUCUAUGACGCAGGAGAAGUUCCUGAUUUUAACAUUUCUGAAGGGAGCUGCUGACAGAGAGGAUGAAAACAUACACAUUUUAAUGUCCACGCUGUAGGAGCAUUACUAAAGAAUGCUUAUGUUCCUAGGUUCUUCCAUGCUGAUGGCUGUGCUCUAGUCAUAUCUCCUGUCGAAGAACAUUUUUAGACAUUAUGAACCAUGAAUAAGUUUAGCUCCAACCCCAGUCAAGCUGACCUGAGCAGCUGAUCAAGGAUCAGCAGAAACUCUGCAGAACAUUGGUCCUUCAGUCCAGGACUGGACACCAGUGUUGUAAGUCAUUCUGUCUCUUUAUAGUGCAUGCUCAGAACAUAUUGCAGGAGAUCUCAACAUUGUCUCUUAAGGUCCACUUACAUGCAGAGUUUUGCUCCAACCUGCAGUGCACCUGAACACAUUAAUCGAGGUCUAACUAUUAGUGUUG